rnacentral:rRNA from 1 species
GAUGAACGCUGGCGGCGUGCCUAAUACAUGCAAGUCGAGCGAACAGACGAGGAGCUUGCUCCUCUGACGUUAGCGGCGGACGGGUGAGUAACACGUGGAUAACCUACCUAUAAGACUGGGAUAACUUCGGGAAACCGGAGCUAAUACCGGAUAAUAUAUUGAACCGCAUGGUUGAAUAGUGAAUGACGGUUUUGCUGUCACUUAUAGAUGGAUCCGCGCCGCAUUAGCUAGUUGGUAAGGUAACGGCUUACCAAGGCAACGAUGCGUAGCCGACCUGUGAGGGGGAUCGGCCACACUGGAACUGAGACACGGUCCAUACUCCUACGGGAGGCAGCAGUAGGGAAUCUUCCGCAAUGGGCGAAAGCUUGACGGAGCAACGCCGCGUGAGUGAUGAAGGUCUUCGGAUCGUAAAACUCUGUUAUUAGUGAAGAACAAAUGUGUAAGUAACUAUGCACGUCUUGACGGUACCUAAUCAGAAAGCCACGGCUAACUACGUG